rnacentral:tRNA from 1 species
GCGCCCGUAGUUCAAUGGAUAGAGCGCCAGCCUCCGAAGCUGGCAAUGUGGGUUCGACUCCCGCCGGGCGCA